ensembl:snoRNA
UCUGCUUUUCUUUGGGGGAACCAGAUGUAUAGUUCCUCUCUUGUUAUGUACAGAGGCAGAAGGAGAGGUCUCUAGCCCCCUUGGUCUCAUAUCACUGAUGUCAGCUGCUUUCUAUCUACAGGUUUUAUUCUCAAGGACAAGGAUACAU